CAUAAAUGCUGGGCAAUUAGAUCAUGGGUUGUCCCUGAAGACUGAUGGGAUAAUAAGCUGUAGUUAAGUAUUAAGUUGACCCAGUGAAGGUCCCAUCUGAAUAAACCUGGCUAGGGCCACAGCUGGUGCCUUUUAAAUGAAACUUUUACAUUAAGAGCAUACAAAAGGUGACUGUUCUGGGAGCAUGCGCAAAACUGCGCUCUCUGUGAGCCCCGCCAAGGUUCAAGGUGCCUUCGCUCAGCACCUCUGCCUUUGUGAAGCUGUGUAGGCUUGAGUGGCCGGCUCUCCCGUGAGGCCAACUGGGCUGGGGCAUUACCAUCCAGCAUGGCGCUCUGGAGUCACUGGAAAGCUGGUAAAAAGGAUGCAAGUACCAGUAAGAGUGUAGCUUCUAGCCCAGAAGAGCUGAAGUCUGAGAGAUCAACCCUGCUGGAACCAGAACAGAGCCAGAAAGGCCAAACAGCCUUGUCAGGAACUGGAAGAGUGGGGAAACCUUCCUAUCUCCUGGUUUACAAGGCCCCCUGGCUUCUAGACUCCAGCAGUGAAGUUUCCCUGGCCUGGCCUCUGGAACAAAAAACCAAGAAGCCCAAAACUGGAACUCCAGACCCUAUGCUCCCCCACCCUCAGGGACUGAGCUAAGUGUGAGUUAUGCCUGUCUUCAGAGUCUGAGCCACGUGACUAUUGAGUCACUAUUAAGAUCUGAGAGAUGCCUUCGUCCUCAGCCGCCGCUUGGUUGUAAAACAAAACUCCGACUAAUGAUUGCAGUUAGCUGUUCCUUUACUCCCGCCAGUGUUGAUGACCCUUUUCCAUUCCCAGGACCCACCUCAGGAGGCGCACAACUGCUGGCAGCUCAGCUCCUGGGGGUCCUACACCCUCUUCUGGUCUCCAAGAACACCUACACACGUGUGGCACACAGACACACAGAUUCCAUCAGUGAAUCCAUCACCCACGGAUUAUCUCAGAGCCCUUAGGAUCCAGUUGCCUUCCAAAAGCCCAUUGGAUGCCAAGCAAGGCUCCAACACAGGAGUCUAUAAAAAACAUCUCAGAUUUAAGCCACAACGCUGUCUGUAUUAUCAGUUUUCAACAAGAAGUUCUAAAGACUGCAAAGAAGCAGAAAGGCAAAGCAGGUGGAAGAUCACCACAGAAACUUGGCCUGGGAGAAUCUGGAUAUUGAGAUGGGCAGAAAAAAUAUCACCCGUGAUAAGCACGCCUUCUUAAAACACAAGGGACUGCCUUUCAAAACAUUAAAUGAAAGCAUGACCACAAUGACUCAAGAAAUGGAGAAUACCAAUUGAAACAAAUUAUUUUUUAAAAACAGAAUGAAAAUCCUAGAACAAAAUAUAGUAAUUACAAGGUGGGGAAAAACCCAUAAAUUUCCCAGCACCAGAUCUGAAAUGGGCUGGAGAGGGAAUCAGCAAGUCUGUGGAUGGAGCAGAAGAAAUAAUCUGCUGAUGUGUGUACCUGAAAAUGUCACCAUGGACCCCAUCAUCAUGGAUGCUGAACAAAAAGUUAACUCAUAAAACAAAGACAAAUAGCAAUCCAUUCUUAAGAAAAUGGGAAAAUGCUAGGAUGAAGAGAAAUGAAGAGAGGUUGGAAGACAUGUGGGACGACACUGAGCAUGUCAACAUGUGGAUGACAGAGACAGAGAGGAGGGAAGAAUGAUGGUGACAAUGGCCCACAGUCUCCAACUUGACUCAAAUGUCACAUAUGCUGAAGCACUAAUGAGCCACAAGGGAAAACAUACAGAGAUCCACCUUGGGCUCAUCAUAGCCAGGAUGAUAAUCGACAACAUUGAAAGAAGAGAAAAAUGACUUAUCCUCAGGAUAAACAAUAUGAUCGAUCAGUGGCCACCUUCUUAUCAGGAACCAUGGUGGCCUACACGCAGCAGACAGACGUAUUGAAAGUGUUGAAGGAAUAAACUUUCAACUAAAUCCAUGUCCAUUAAAAUGAUCAUCUCAAGCCUGGCGUGGUGGUGCACACCUUUAAUCCCAGCACUCGGGAGGGAGAGUCAGGUGGAUCUCUGUGAGUUCGAAGCCAAC